GUAGGUAGCAAGCGUUGUCCGGAAUUAUUGGGCGUAAAGCGCGCGCAGGCGGUUCUUUAAGUCUGAUGUGAAAGCCCACGGCUCAACCGUGGAGGGUCAUUGGAAACUGGAGAACUUGAGUACAGAAGAGGAAAGCGGAAUUCCACGUGUAGCGGUGAAAUGCGUAGAGAUGUGGAGGAACACCAGUGGCGAAGGCGGCUCUCUGGUCUGUAACUGACGCUGAGGCGCGAAAGCGUGGGGAGCAAACAGGAUUAGAUACCCUGGUAGUCCACGCCGUAAACGAUGAGUGCUAAGUGUUAGGGGGUUUCCGCCCCCCUUAGUGCUGCAGCUAACGCAUUAAGCACUCCGCCUGGGAGUACGGCCGCAAGGCUG
rnacentral:rRNA from 1 species